rnacentral:ncRNA from 1 species
GGUGCAGAUAGAGAUGUACACUCGACAAGCUGAAAGCCUUAUCAGUUUCUGCACCGUUAACAAAUAAGGC